UUUUCAAAAUUUAAUUUCCCAUUUUAAAAAAAAACAUUGAUACGCUUUUACUCAACAGAAAAAGAAUCACGAAGAGAUGGUGCAUUGGCAUGGUACUUGGGUAGAAUCACAAAAAAUUGAUGAUGGACGACUAACGCUGCUGGUGCUCAGGGUUGGGCUUUGGGAAAUUUUAAAGACUGGGAAAAUUGAUUGGGUUCCCAAGUGUUGAAGACCGAAAUCAUUGCAGGUUAUAUUAUUGAGAGUUGUUUAGUUGGCCGGGGAGGCUUGGAAACUGGAAAUUUCAACCUUUUAUUUACCAUCUGACAUUGGUUGAAAGAACAAAAAGGGGGAGAGAGCUUAAGGCUUUAAAAAUUAGGAAACCCAAGAGGCAGUCAACUCUUGUGUAAAGGCACAAUAGGGGUGCUUAGUAGAGAAGCACCUGAAGUAUUUUCAGUGCAAGGCCAAAAUUCGUGCCCAAGCAAGGAAAUCGUCUGGAAGGUUUCUGCAAUUUCAUGAAACUUCCCUGAGAUUAAGAUGGUUUGUAGUGUUAGCAUGCUCUGAGAUAUCCUGAGCGAAAUUUCAGCUGAAAAUCUCUCGAUAAGUUGACUGUGUGUCUCCCCUUGCAAACAAGUGAAUUCUUUGAUGAAACACUCAUUAAUUUCGCUUUUUACAUUCAUCUUAUUUCUUCUUUUUCUUUUAUCUUUUUUCACUUUUAUUGUGAUUUUUAUGAUUUACUCCUGCAUGCUGCUUGUUAUGAGCUAUUUUGUCUCUUCUUUCUGUUAGAUGGAUCCACUGUAUCUCCAGUUGGUAAAUCAACUUGGGACAAAGCUAAGCCGGACCGGGAUGAACACUCUGAUUCUGUAGAUAUACAAAAAGAAACUGAUUUGGUCUACUAUUCUGGAGGUGUGCGCGCAAAUGGUGUUGAAACCAGUGGUUUAAAUGAUGAAUUCUUUGCUAGUGAAGGAAGUAGACAAUGUGCCUCAGCUGAAGGAAAUAUAUUUUUUUGACUCGGCUGUUAGUGAGCAACCUGAGGUGGAGAGCUCUGGUUCAGGUGUGAAACUUGAAAAUGGAUGGCCGCCUACCUCGUGCUGUGCCACUUGGUCUUGAUGAGUUCAAGAGCGAAACAUUUAAUUCCAAAACUAAAUCGGGAAAUGGUGAGGCUGGAGGCAUAAAACACAGAGUGGAGCCCUGGUGGUGCUGAAUACAAUUAUGCUUCAGCUGCAAAGGGAGCCAAGGUCUUGGCUUUUAACAAGGAAGCUAAAGGUGCCUCAAAUAUCUUUGGCAGGGAGAUAAGGACAAGUACCUUCGCAAUCUAUGUUCUGCAGAAGGAAAAUUUGUCGAUGUCGUUCGACUAGGUUCCUACUAUUCUGUAUUCUUCCUUUCCUGCCUGUUCGACAAGUUCAGGUUUACAGGACCCAGAGAAAGAAUGACGGAAAAAAGUUUGCGAUUAAACGUAAGUGAAAUACAUCUUUCAUGUACAUUCUCUUUUCGACUGUUUCAGUUUCUUAAACCAGAUGUUUUAUAUGGUGUUAAUUAAUGAGUAACUUAGCUUAUGAGCAUUCAAGCUUACAAAUAUAAUCGAAAUAGCUUACAUGACUGUUCAAAAGUGGUGACAGUGAGUGCUUUAUUUUGGAGCAUGUUGAGCAAGAUAGACCUGAGGUACGUAUCAAAUGCUUCAGUUCAGCUUUUAUCUAUUAAUAAAACAUUUGGAGAACAACAACCUGACAAUACUUAAGCCUCUUUCAGCUGAUCAGCUAACUAUUGCUGAAUAAAGGUUCCAUUCUAUAGAAUUUUGUAUCAGAUUUUCCUUAUACCUCUGUAUUGAUAAGUUGUGAUCGAAUUAAAACCUCAUUUAGCUCCAGUGUUUAGCAGAACUACCAUCUCUUUCUUCGCUCUUAUUCAAGUUUCAUCUUAACUGCUAGGUAUUGAAGAAAAAAAUAGAUCUAUACGAGCUCCGGUGGUAUGGCUAGUGCAUGUUUAGAGCCCUUGCAUGCUUACAUAAGCAGAUAAGAUCACUACAGUUGUUGUGCAUCUAUUGAAAGUUCAAGUAUAACCUCCACGAAGGAUGUGACAAGUGUCAGGACUCCAUCUACAGAAAGAGCAAGGGAACCUCUACCAUGCCUAGGAAAAAAAGAGUUGAUCAGUCUGAGAUUCUUAGUCCAAACCAAGGAAUAUAAAAGACAUCGCGACGUUAAAGGGCAGUGAAGAUUCAUGGGAAGUGGCCAAGCUACAUGAUCGUGAAUCCUCCUUUCCAGUGUUCUUUGCUGAUCUCAUAUUCAUACUCAGACAGAAAGAUGCAUUGCUAUUUUUGUAUCAUCAGAAAAACGAGGGAGUUAUUGGAUAUCAAACCCUUGCCAUCAAUGGAACUGCAAAGUUGGAGCAAGGCUCGCACAAAAAGAGCCCAGUUUUUCAAGCCUAUUCCAAGAUCACUCUUUGAUCUUGUGGACAAGUGCCUGACAGUAAACCCAAGGUUGAGGAUCAACGCACAGGAAGCUGUGAGGCACAAAUUCUUAGCCUCGUGCCUUGAGAGCUUGAGGAGGCAGAAGAUGUUCAGGCGUGAGGUUAUGAGUACCCAGAAUGAUCUUCUUGUACAUGAAGUGAAGUGUAAUGUAGUUUUGAUCAACAUAUUUGAACAAUGAAUUUCAUCACCUAGUUCUUUGGCUUAAAAAU